rnacentral:rRNA from 1 species
GACGAACGCUGGCGGCGUGCCUAAUACAUGCAAGUCGAACGCUGAAGGAGGAGCUUGCUUCUCUGGAUGAGUUGCGAACGGGUGAGUAACGCGUAGGUAACCUGCCUGGUAGCGGGGGAUAACUAUUGGAAACGAUAGCUAAUACCGCAUAAGAGUAGAUGUUGCAUGACAUUUGCUUAAAAGGUGCAAUUGCAUCACUACCAGAUGGACCUGCGUUGUAUUAGCUAGUUGGUGGGGUAACGGCUCACCAAGGCGACGAUACAUAGCCGACCUGAGAGGGGGAUCGGCCAAACUGGGACUGAGACACGGCCCAGACUCCUACGGGAGGCAGCAGUAGGGAAUCUUCGGCAAUGGACGGAAGUCUGACCGAGCAACGCCGCGUGAGUGAAGAAGGUUUUCGGAUCGUAAAGCUCUGUUGUAAGAGAAGAACGAGUGUGAGAGUGGAAAGUUCACACUGUGACGGUAUCUUACCAGAAAGGGACGGCUAACUACGUG